rnacentral:SRP_RNA from 1 species
GAGUUGAGGGAGGUUGAGGCGGGAAAUCGAGAAGAGCAGGAGCGACAGCGGGACGCAGCGGCCGCAUUGCAGCGGCAGUUGGA